UGGGGAAUUUUGGACAAUGGGCGAAAGCCUGAUCCAGCAAUGCCGCGUGUGUGAAGAAGGCCUUCGGGUUGUAAAGCACUUUUGUCCGGAAAGAAAUCCUUGGCUCUAAUACAGUCGGGGGAUGACGGUACCGGAAGAAUAAGCACCGGCUAACUACGUGCCAGCAGCCGCGGUAAUACGUAGGGUGCAAGCGUUAAUCGGAAUUACUGGGCGUAAAGCGUGCGCAGGCGGUUUGCUAAGACCGAUGUGAAAUCCCCGGGCUCAGCCUGGGAACUGCAUUGGUGACUGGCAGGCUAGAGUAUGGCAGAGGGGGGUAGAAUUCCACGUGUAGCAGUGAAAUGCGUAGAGAUGUGGAGGAAUACCGAUGGCGAAGGCAGCCCCCUGGGCCAAUACUGACGCUCAUGCACGAAAGCGUGGGGAGCAAACAGGAUUAGAUACCCUGGUAGUCCACGCCCUAAACGAUGUCAACUAGUUGUUGGGGAUUCAUUUUCCUUAGUAACGUAGCUAACGCGUGAAGUUGACCGCC
rnacentral:rRNA from 1 species